AUACGGAGGUUGCAAGCGUUAUCCGGAUUUAUUGGGUUUAAAGGGUGCGUAGGCGGUUUGCUAAGCGGGAGGUGAAAUGCCGGCGCUCAACGUCGGAAGUGCCUCCCGAACUGGUGGACUGGAAUGACUCUGCCGUGGGAGGAAUGUGUAGUGUAGCGGUGAAAUGCUUAGAGAUUACACAGAACACCGAUUGCGAAGGCAUCUCACGAAGGGUUGAUUGACGCUGAGGCACGAAAGCGUGGGGAUCAAACAGGAUUAGAUACCCUGGUAGUCCACGCAGUAAACGAUGAUGGCUAACCGCUGGGCUUAUCAGUUCAGUGGCCAAGCGAAAGCGAUAAGCCAUCCACCUGGGGAGUACGACCGCAAGGUUGAAACUCAAAUGAAUUGACGGGG
rnacentral:rRNA from 1 species